AAUGCAAUGUUCAAGCCUGGUGCUUCAAAUUUCAUUUCAUUUCAAAAAUCAUUUCUCUAUUUUCAUUUAUUAGAUUUAUAUUAUACUUCAACUGUAACUAACUAGAAAAAUGUUGAAGGAUUAACAUAAAUUCUUUCAUAGACAUACCAUCGCCAAUAUAAUGCCCCUCUGAAAAUUAAAUACCAGUCACUAGUCUGUCAACACUGAGGUUGUGAGUUGAUAUCUGCAUUCAACUUCUAUCUUAUUUGGCUAGGAUUGCAGAAGGUUAGUGGUUCUUACAGGCACACUGACUUCCUCCACCGAUAAAAACUGACCGCCACAGAAGGUUAGUGGUUCUCACAGGCACACUGACUUCCUCCACCGAUAAAAACUGACCGCCACAGAAGGUUAGUGGUUCUUACAGGCACACUGACUUCCUCCACUGAUAAAAACUGACCGCCACAGAAGGUUAGUGGUUCUCACAGGCACACUGACUUCCUCCACCGAUAAAAACUGACCGCCACAAAAUAGCCAACAGUGCUGAAAGUGGCAAAUUGAAAAAAAAACUUUUAAUUAUGAAAUUUUAAUAGACAAAGAAAAG
rnacentral:lncRNA from 1 species